rnacentral:rRNA from 1 species
GAUGAACGCUGGCGGCGUGCCUAAUACAUGCCAGUCGAGCGAACAGACGAGGAGCUUGCUCCUCUGACGUUAGCGGCGGACGGGUGAGUAACACGUGGAUAACCUACCUAUAAGACUGGGAUAACUUCGGGAAACCGGAGCUAAUACCGGAUAAUAUAUUGAACCGCAUGGUUCAAUAGUGAAAGACGGUUUUGCUGUCACUUAUAGAUGGAUCCGCGCCGCAUUAGCUAGUUGGUAAGGUAACGGCUUACCAAGGCAACGAUGCGUAGCCGACCUGAGAGGGUGAUCGGCCACACUGGAACUGAGACACGGUCCAGUCUCCUACGGGAGGCAGCAGUAGGGAAUCUUCCGCAAUGGGCGAAAGCCUGACGGAGCAACGCCGCGUGAGUGAUGAAGGUCUUCGGAUCGUAAAACUCUGUUAUUAGGGAAGAACAAAUGUGUAAGUAACUAUGCACGUCUUGACGGUACCUAAUCAGAAAGCCACGGCUAACUACGUG